rnacentral:rRNA from 1 species
GACGAACGCUGGCGGCGUGCCUAAUACAUGCAAGUCGAACGCAGUGGGGACGGGUGAGUAAAAAGUGGGUAACCUCCCAUCAGAGGGGAUAACACUUGGAAACCGGUGCUAAACCGCUACUGAUGGCUGGACCCGCGGUGCAUUGGGUAGUUGGUGAGGUAACGGCUCACAAAGGCCACGAUGCAUAGCCGACCGGGGUGUGUGAUCGGCCACACUGGGACUGAGACACGUCCCAGACUCCUCCGGGAGGCAGCAGUAGUGAAUCUUGGGAAAUGGACGAAAGUCUGACCGAGCAACGCCGAGUGAGUGAAGAAGGUUUUCGGAGCGUAAAACUCGGUGGUUAGAGAAGCGGUAUCUAACCAGAAAGCCACGGCUAACUACGUGCCAGCAGCCGCGGUAAUAC